GCCGAGUGCAGUGGCGCACACCUGUGGUCCCAGCUACUUCGGGAGGCCGAGGCAGGAGGAUUGCUUGAGCCCAGGAGGUUGAGGCUGCAGUGAGCUGUGAUUGUGCCACUGCACUCUAGCCUGGGCAACAGAGCAAGACUCUGUCUCUA
rnacentral:sRNA from 1 species